rnacentral:rRNA from 1 species
CCUACGGGUGACAGCAGUGAGGAAUAUUGGUCAAUGGACGAGAGUCUGAACCAGCCAAGUAGCGUGAAGGAUGACUGCCCUAUGGGUUGUAAACUUCUUUUAUAUGGGACUAAAAUGUUCCACGUGUGGGAUUUUGUAUGUACCAUAUGAAUAAGGAUCGGCUAACUCCGUGCCAGCAGCCGCGGUAAUACGGAGGAUCCGAGCGUUAUCCGGAUUUAUUGGGUUUAAAGGGAGCGUAGGUGGAUUGUUAAGUCAGUUGUGAAAGUUUGCGGCUCAACCGUAAAAUUGCAGUUGAAACUGGCAGUCUUGAGUACAGUAGAGGUGGGCGGAAUUCGUGGUGUAGCGGUGAAAUGCUUAGAUAUCACGAAGAACUCCGAUUGCGAAGGCAGUUCACUGGACUGCAACUGACACUGAGGCUCGAAAGUGUGGGUAUCAAACAGGAUUAGAUACCCUUGUAGUC